rnacentral:rRNA from 1 species
AUUGAACGCUGGCGGCAGGCCUAACACAUGCAAGUCGAACGAGCGGCGGACGGGUGAGUAAUGUAUGGGAAACUGCCUGAUGGAGGGGGAUAACUACUGGAAACGGUAGCUAAUACCGCAUACCAUCGGAUGUACCCAGAUGGGAUUAGCUAGUAGGUGGGGGAACGGCUAACCUAGGCGACGAUCACUAGCUGGUCUGAGAGGAUGACCAGCCACACUUGAACUGAGACCCGGUCGAUACGCCUACGGGAGGCAGCAGUGGAGAAUAUUGCACAAUGGGCGCAAGCCGGAUGCAGCCAUGCCGCGUGUAUGAAGAAGGCCUUCGGGUUGUAAAGUACUUUAAGCGGGGAGGCGUUACCCGCAGAAGAAGCACCGGCUAACUCCGUGCCAGCAGCCGCGGUAAUUC